CGAUGAUAGUGUGGCAGCUGCCAUGUGAGAGUAGGACACUGCCAGGG
rnacentral:rRNA from 1 species